UUUGCCAUAUGCGUUUUUAUCCUAGAAAAAAAAAGUUACGGUCGCGUUGUCAUCGGUCUUUGCGGUCUGAUAAAUCGAUUUUAAAAGUUCGAAAAGCUAAACAGUUGACAACUAGGCAGUGGAAAAUUUACGUCGCUGACGGGAGCAGAUAGAAUAGGAACGCGGGGCUGACGAGUUCUAUUUUGAUGAUGACCGGCCAACGGCGACAAGAGGCAGUAGCGGCCAUGACAGGCAACACCUAUCUUAUUUUGACCAUAUCGUUCGGACACUGACGAGCAGAAAUGUUUCGUAACGUACCGGCACCAUACUGUGCAUACAACGAAUGCUGUGCGUCGUCCAUUGUCUCAAACAGCAGUUUACAUGAGCGAGAUACCGUCAGUCCUGCCGCUACCGAAGGCCAACACGAAAUACCAUCCCACGAACUCGGACAGCGUAGGAGGACAUCACCUUUAACACAAUCAAAGGUAACAAGAAAGAAAAGCUGUUGGAGCGGUACGUGUAGCGCGUACAGAUUAUCAUGCCCAACUGGAGAAAAACCAA
rnacentral:lncRNA from 1 species